rnacentral:rRNA from 1 species
GACGAACGCUGGCGGCGUGCCUAAUACAUGCAAGUAGAACGCUGAAGGAGGAGCUUGCUUCUCCGGAUGAGUUGCGAACGGGUGAGUAACGCGUAGGUAACCUGCCUGGUAGCGGGGGAUAACUAUUGGAAACGAUAGCUAAUACCGCAUAAGAGUAGAUGUUGCAUGACAUUUGCUUAAAAGGUGCAAUUGCAUCACUACCAGAUGGACCUGCGUUGUAUUAGCUAGUUGGUGGGGUAACGGCUCACCAAGGCGACGAUACAUAGCCGACCUGAGAGGGUGAUCGGCCACACUGGGACUGAGACACGGCCCAGACUCCUACGGGAGGCAGCAGUAGGGAAUCUUCGGCAAUGGACGGAAAUCUGACCGAGCAACGCCGCGUGAGUGAAGAAGGUUUUCGGAUCGUAAAGCUCUGUUGUAAGAGAAGAACGAGUGUGAGAGUGGAAAGUUCACACUGUGACGGUAUCUUACCAGAAAGGGACGGCUAACUACGUGCCAGCAGCCGCGGUAAUACGUAGGUCCCGAGCGUUGUCCGGAUUUAUUGGGCGUAAAGCGAGCGCAGGCGGUUAGAUAAGUCUGAAGUUAAAGGCUGUGGCUUAACCAUAGUACGCUUUGGAAACUGUUUAACUUGAGUGCAAGAGGGGAGAGUGGAAUUCCAUGUGUAGCGGUGAAAUGCGUAGAUAUAUGGAGGAACACCGGUGGCGAAAGCGGCUCUCUGGCUUGUAACUGACGCUGAGGCUCGAAAGCGUGGGGAGCAAACAGG